rnacentral:rRNA from 1 species
ACGACGCUGGCGGCGUGCCUAACACAUGCAAGUCAACUUGACUGAAGGAGCAAUCUGACAGUAGAGUGGCGCAAGGGUGCGUAACGCGUAAGUAACUUGCCCAAGGUAAGGAAUAACGUCGAGAAAUCGGCGCUAAUACCUCAUAAUGCAGCGGAUCCGCAUGGAUAUGUUGUUAAAGGUUUACCGCCUUGGGAUAGGCUUGCGUCUGAUUAGUUAGUUGGUGUGGUAACGGCACACCAAGGCUACGAUCAGUAACUGGUCUGAGAGGAUGAUCAGUCACACUGGAACUGAGACACGGUCCAGACUCCUACGGGAGGCAGCAGUGAGGAAUAUUGGGCAAUGCUCGAAAGAGUGACCCAGCAACGCCGCGUGGAGGAUGAAGGUAUUCUAUAUCGUAAACUCCUGUGAGAGCAGACGAAAGACAGAUUAUUAAUCUGGAUGACUGUAUGCUCAGAGGAAGCCCCGGCUAACUACGUG